rnacentral:lncRNA from 1 species
GCAAAUAACCCUAACCCUAAGUCAUUUCUCCCAAUCGGCUGCCUUCAGAUGCUCUCUCAUCUCCACUAUUCUCUAAAACCUAACCCUAGACUCCUCCACUCACCUCCUUCUCCAGUCAUCUCCGGUGACUAUCCCUUUCAACCCAAGCCUCCAAUGAGUCUCUCAUCGCUCUACUCAUCAUCUCCAAGGCCUUCAAGCAUCCCGGGUCAUGUUGAUUUGGACCUAGGGUUUCUGUUUCUGUUACUUAUGAGUUCUACGGUGUGAUUUUGGGCAAAGUCACACCUUAUACGUCACGAUCGUUGAAGUUUCAACAUAUUUUUUUUUAUUUUUACUUGGGUUUCUUUUUGAAAUCCUACCUCUCUUCUGAAUCUCUCAGAUCUAUGUUAUUUUUAUGCUUUAAGACUAUUUCCUUUUGUGAUUUGCUUAUUCUCGAGCUUUCUUUUGAAAGAUCUUCUACUCUAAACCAUUUUUACUCCCUUUGAAAAACUGGGGUUUUCGGAGUUCUUUCUGUACCUGUUUCGACUGAUUUCUUCAUGAUUCAAUCUUUUCCCUUGUUUAUCUUGACCGAUUCUAAGUUCUUACUGCUUUUUAACUCAACUAUGUUAAAAAGCCCUGAUUACUUAAAGAUUUUCUUUACUUCUCUCCGUGUUUUAUCUUGAUUUGAUUUACUCUGCUUCUGUGUGUUAGCAUGAGGUUCUCCACUUUGGUUCCACGUGUUAGCAUGAUUUUCCUUUACUUCGUUUCUAUGUGUUAGCAUGUUUACCUGGUUCGAAUAUGUUCUGCUGAAUCUUUAGCCUACUUACAUCACCUGUACAUGACUAUGUUUGCUCAUCUUUUGUUUCUCUCUGCCUAUAAAAUCGACCUUGUUUGUUUGCUACUUCUGUUCAAUAGUCUCUAUUUAUAUGUUGAAAUAUGCAAAAUCAUGAUUCCCCAUGAUUGAUUCUGAUUGUCUUUAACUUUUGGUAAUUGAAAGAUUUUCUUUCAAAGUCCUAGAAUUCUACUCGUCUAUUUGAAUUAACUGAUUGCAUUACCUUAUUUACUAUGGUACUUUGUUUUACUUAGUCUUUCCUUAAUUGGGUCUUUCUAGAUUUGGUCCUAAUUGACUGCUUUAUACCUACUGAAUCUUGACCUUUUCCUUAUUUAAUCAUGCACUGAUUCCCCUUCCUCCCUUUAUAUGGAACUGAAUCUUCCUGUUUGGCCUUGACUCCCUUAACUCAAGGAAGUACUUUCUUGAUUCUUUAGAUGAUUGAUUCUGAGUUCUUAAACUAAUAUACUACUAUGAUUUUUACCUUAUUCCACUAUCUACUUUCAACUAUAAAUACUCUAAGUCUUUCACAAACAAGACACACAUACUUGGCUUCCAAAAAACCCCUCUCCUACUUAAAAUCUCUGUUGGCUGCAAGCCAAUGCUAAUCAUCUAUAUUCUUUGGUUCGUUCAUUCUGCCUACUUUGUCUUCACUGGUAUGUCCUUGUUUAAUUUAAAGUUUCAACAACAACAUGCUUCUCUUCUUGUUUCAGUUUAUUUUAUUUCUAGCUUGCUUUUACUUAUGAUUUUGUUGUGAAGUUUGUAGCUAAGCAUGCUAGUAUGACUCCCUCCCUUUAAAUUUAUGUAUUCCCUUAUGUGAUUCGAGCAUGCCUGGACAAUUGUAUUCUUUUACCAACUGUGUACUUACCACUUUGUGAAUCCCAAAUCCCUACUCUCCUUUAUGUGUUCAUGACUGAUUUGUGAUUAUUCCAGUGUCAAACUGUCUCUGAGCAUGUCCAUACCAGUCUUAAUACUCCUGUUUGGGUCAUGUGUGCAAUCAAUGUCUGCGUAUCCCCAAAAUCCCUUAACCCCUGUGUGAUUAGUUAAUUUAUUUACUUGCUAUGUGUGAUCUUAUCCUGAAGUGUUUGAACUCUGUUUACUAAUCCAACUUCUUUCCAACAACCUCUGUUACCAAUUGCUUUCAAAACAGACCUUUCAGUCUAGUCUUUAAUAAAAUUCUUCCAAACAUGUGUCCUGCACUUUCACUCUCCUAGUUAAUAAGUUCUGCCUCCUCUAGAAUGUGUACUGUGAGCACGCGUUUUUUGCCUCAAAUGAAUUACUCCUACAGAUUUCCUAAAAUUAGGAUAUUUCUUUUAAUUAUUUGAUUUUUAGGAAUUGAUUGCAUAAAUUUUAUGUUUUUUGCAUUUUUUUGGGCAUAUUUAAUUCAUGAAAAUACAAAAAUAGCGCAUUUGCAUUUAGGACCUAAGUUUAUAUUUUUAUGUUAAUUAUUUGACUAAUGUUACAAAAAUGGAAGAAAAUACCAAAAAUAGUUCAUAUUGCAUUUUUGCUCUUUAAUUUCGAAUUUUGUGGGGUUUCUUUAAAUUAGGACUUAAUUAUUCUUUUGAGGAAACAAUUAGUUUAGUUUUAAGAUCAAAUCAGGUUUAUUUUUAUUUGCAUUUGUAUUUAAUAAAUUCUGAAAAUCAAAGAAAAAGAAAAAAAGAGAGAAAAUGAAAGGCUUCUCUUAUGAAGACCUAAGGCCAAAUCCACCCCAAAUACCCAUCCAAUUCACCCUUGACCGGCCCAAAAUUUCCUCGACAAAGUCCGCCUCCCAAUUAAACUCAAAAAGAAGCCACUUAACGUCCUUUAAUCUGAGCCAUUGUUCCCUUCUAAUCAGAUGACCCCUAAGCAUAUACAUGUCCUAACGCCCCUACCCAUCACUCAUCUCCUUCACUACCCCUCUCCUCAAACCCUAAACGACCGCCGCCCAGAGAUUCCCUCACCACUGGUGGUGGCGUCACCUCAAAUCAGCACUAAAUUGACACCAGAUAUUCCUUUUCACCACCCUAUCCCGGAUCUCCAUUCAAUUCUGUUCAAAUAUACCUCGAACCUCUCGAAUCUCUGUUUAAAAGUGGAAACCCUAGCGCUGCCACAGUUUCUUCGGCGGCAGCGCCACUUCUGUUCGACCCCAAACCAACACCAAAUACUCUCCUAAACUCCCUCUUUCCAAAUCCCUAAUGACUUUCCCUAAAAUCCUCUUAAAAUCAAAAUCUCCAAGUACCAAGUCCAAAUCUAAGCAUGCAAGGUGAUCGCUCCAGUCGUCAUAAAGUGUUAGAUUUGAUUUUGUCGCAAAAUAGUGUUAUCCACUUGUUCUUGACGAAGAACAAGCGGUUAAUAUUAUUUGGCGUUGAAGUUAGAAAAGUCAAGUGCUGUGAGGUAAGUUCUUGUGUUCAAUGCCUCUUGAUAUUCCGGCGUUUGUUCUUCUCCUUUACUUCUUUUUCUGGGCAACUCAGUCAGAUUCGAGUCAAGAUUUGUCCAAUUACGUAACUUUCUUUUAUUCUUCUCUAAUAUGUCAUUCAAUUUUAUUGUGUUCAUCUCAUGAUAUUUGUCUCCAUUUCAGUAUCACGUUUUAUCAUUAGUUAAUAAACUUAGGCCUUUGAUUCGAUUAAAUUACAACUGAUGUCUAGUUCUCUGAAUUUUGUUCUUGAUUAGGUUACUUCUGAAAAAUGAUAUUGGAUUUUUUUACGUGGAAAUUAUGGAGUCAAAUUCUAUUAUGGGGCCUUUAAGUUGUUUACUGGGUUUGCAAACAGCAACAUGCCCAAGCAGGGAUUUAGUGUUGGGUCUGUGGCCCAAUUGGCUUGGCCAAUUGACCCGACAUGUUUUAAAGGGAUAAUAAACAGGGAUUUAAAGGGUAGCCUGGGAAUUUUAGGGUAGAGAAUCUUGGAUAUAUGCUUGGAGAAGCUCAUAGAAGCUUCUAGCAGGGGCUUUAAUUUUGACAUUAUGACUUGACUAACAAAUCACAAAAUCAGGGACUAAAGGGCAAAACAAAAUCUAAAUGUUGACCUAUGGCCUUGCCUAUAAAAGCAUAUCAUUCUUGCCUUUCAAGGCAAGAAUUGGAGAGCUAAAAAUUCAUAAAUCAUAAAACGAUUACAAAUCAAAAGAAACACUGUUUCAUUGCCUUCUCUUUUGAUUUCUGAAGUUCUUCAAUUACUGAAAUAUUUUUCCUACCCUCUCUGUUGAAAUGAUCUGAUUUUGGUUGAAUUUCGAGAGUUUGGUUCAAGUUUUGGGUAGUGUUUCUAAUUACUGGGUCUCGCUUACUAUUUCUGCUAGUUUAAAUCUGGUUCAAAGCUGAUUUUCCCUGUUGUUUUGGAGCUGACUUAUUGCUGCUUUUGUUCUGCUGCUAGGCCAUGAAUUUAUGUUUGUUUUGAAAUCCAGGUAUAUACUUCACCUCCUAAUGUAUGAGAUUGGAUGAACAUGAAUAUUAGCUUAUUCAAGUCAAGAUUUGUAACUGAGCAAGGGUUUUAACAAUGCAUUUGUACCUUUGAGCUAGUUGAUUUGUGUAGUUGAUUUGGUUUUCAAUAUAUAUAGACACUGUGCUUUCAUCUGUGUUGUUUAAUACUUUAUGAUGUCUUGAAUAUGUUGAGUAUUAUGUUAGUAUAGAUAUUAGGUAUCAAAGGACAUGAAUGCUAUUUGGAUAUUGGGCCCUCUGUGUGCUUCUGCUAUAGAUAUUCAGUCACUGAAUGAAUUUUAAAUUGAGAACGAUUUUCCUCAGUAAUUGGUAUUCCCUGGACUCUUCCUCUUAAGCUGCUUAACUUGCAGCUCACAUCAAAUUAUUCAUAGCCUUUUACUUAGAAUUUUCUCAAGUAAGAGAGGUAAUGGAAGUGUUUGAAAUUAGUUAUUGUUCGGAGACCUAUGUGUUACUAUUUGGACUCAUUGUUUAUGCUAAACAUCUUGAACCUUGUUUUAGUAGUGUUUGAGCUAAAUUUACCCUUACGAGUUGUUGGGGUAUCUGUUGUUAGUAGCUAAUUGUAGUCAUCAUGUAUUUAGACUGAUAUCCCUGCUGAAAAUUUCCCUUGUCAUGCACUGUUUAAGCAGCAUGUGUGCACAGGUUCUUGAGUGCAAAUUCUGCAUUGUUGGCAUUUCAUUUGAGUAACUGAAGUCUUGGUAUUAGGAUUUAAUCCUUGCGAAUCUGUUUUAUGGCUUGAAAUUAAACACAUGACUAAAUACUCUACCACUUCUAUGAACUAGCAAAUUUAGGAAUAGUCCAUUUGUUCCUGUCAAUUCAGUAGUUUCCGUUUUUUAGUUAGCAUUUUGAGAAAUGAGAAUUCUUUACGAGUGCUAAUCAUCACAGCUGGUUUUUUACUAGCAUAUGAAAGGGAAAUUAACUGGUUAGGAAGGAGCCAUAGGGGCCACUGUCAUCAAUUUCUCAAUGUUUAGUCAUUUGUGUCAUCACAUGAAGAUUUCGCAUACUCUAGCAUGCACUGGCAGUAAAUUGCCGGUAUUGGUCCGCUUUUGUCCGGGUUAUUUGAACACUAUCAACUUUGACACCAAGGUUUUUGAUUUAAAAUGAAUGCCGC